UACGAAGGGGGCUAGCGUUGUUCGGAAUUACUGGGCGUAAAGCGCACGUAGGCGGAUUGUUAAGUGAGGGGUGAAAUCCCAGGGCUCAACCCUGGAACUGCCUUUCAUACUGGCAAUCUCGAGUCCGAGAGAGGUGAGUGGAAUUCCGAGUGUAGAGGUGAAAUUCGUAGAUAUUCGGAGGAACACCAGUGGCGAAGGCGGCUCACUGGCUCGGUACUGACGCUGAGGUGCGAAAGGCGUGGGGAGCAAACAGG
rnacentral:rRNA from 1 species